rnacentral:misc_RNA from 1 species
GUGAAUCAUCGAAUCUUUGAACGCAAAUUGCGCCCGAGGCUUGCCGAAGGCAUGCCUGUCUCAGCGUCGGCUUCACCCCUCUGAACACCUUUUUCUGUCCAAAGAGAAAGGUGGUCGGGACCUGGUCGUCUCAGCUUCCUAAAAGCUGGGUCCGCCGAAGCGCAGAGGCCCGAGCAGGACCCACACAAACGUGGGCAACAGUCUGGUAGGCGACUCGUCGCAUGCCGCUGGUGCCCCGGGACUGCUGCACGGCCCGCAGGAAGAGCUCCAAAAGCUCAGCCCUCACUCAUCGACCUGAGA